GACGAACGCUGGCGGCGUGCUUAACACAUGCAAGUCGAACGGGCCUGUCUUCUUUUUUGGGGGUGGGUUGAGUGGCGAACGGGUGAGUAUCACGUGAGUAACCUGCCCUUCGGUCCUGGAUAACCGCUUGAAAGGGCGGCUAAUACGGGGUGGUCCGGUUGGUCCGCAUGGGCUGGUCGGGAUAGAUUCACUGUUUUUGGUGUUUCGGCGGGGGAUGGGCUCGCGGCCUAUCAGCUUGUUGGUGGGGUGAUGGCCUACCAAGGCGGUGACGGGUAGCCGGCCUGAGAGGGUGGGCGGCCACACUGGGACUGAGAUACGGCCCAGACUCCUGCGGGAGGCAGCAGUGGGGGGUAUUGCACAAUGGGCGGAAGCCUGAUGCGGCGACGUCGCGUGAGGGAUGGAGGCCUUCGGGUUGUGAACCUCUGUUUCCGGUGGUGAAGGCCCUGUCCGUGUGGUGGGGUUGACGGUAGCCGGGGAUGAAGCGCCGGCUAACUACGUG
rnacentral:rRNA from 1 species